CGGCACACCCCUAACACUCGGAUCGUCCGGCACGUUCCUGCCGGUGGAGGGAUUCAUUU
rfam:Rhodococcus jostii RHA1, complete genome.